UGCUGGAAUUCCCUGGUUCCGUCUGUGGGUAUAAUGCUGCAYACUGCCCAGCCGGAGGCUGCUUUGGACUCGGGAGCCUGUUAUGUCUUUAUGGCUGUUCACAUACAGAUAUUGGAGUUCACUGUGCAAACGUGUCUUUAUUUUACUAACAUACAUCCUCAUUUUAUUUCUGCAGUCUACACUCGCUGCAAAAUACGCUGAUAGAACACAGUAUCCUUCUUGCUAACCAGGAUCUGGACUUAGAAAAGUCCAGCGUCAAACUAGGGCCUGAACGGUUCUUAUCCCUGGAUUUGAUGCUGUUUCAGGUUGGUUCUGCAGAUGGUGAGAUUCACAUUUCAAGUCUGACUGUGAACUCUGCAUUAAACUUGGAUCUGGGGAACAAGAGUUGCUCUUGCAUGUGCAUUUCCUGAUUGCCUUGCUCCAGCAAGAUGUUGUCAUUUAUUUAUUUUUCCUCACAUUUCCUGUUAAUGUUUCCACUGGCUAGGCAGAUCUCCUCUGUGUAUUUUUUUGGUACAUCUGCUGUAUUUCUGAUCAGGAAACUUAGUACUCCUGAGAUUUGUUUACACUUCCCUUCCCCGAGAAUUUUCCCUGCUAUCUUUUGUACCAUUCUUCUGCUGCUUCCUUACUGGGUCACUUGCUAGCCUUUUUACUAGCUCAGACAGCUGUGCUAAUUACAGCACCUGCUGCAGGGUUAUGCACAUAUUGCAUAUAUAUAUAUAUAUG